ACAACUUUCAACAACGGAUCUCUUGGCUCUCGCAUCGAUGAAGAACGCAGCGAAAUGCGAUACGUAAUGUGAAUUGCAGAAUUCAGUGAAUCAUCGAAUCUUUGAACGCACCUUGCGCCCCUUGGCAUUCCGAGGGGCACACCCGUUUGAGUGUCGU
rnacentral:rRNA from 8 species